UACGGGGGGAGCAAGCGUUGUUCGGAUUUACUGGGCGUAAAGGGCGCGUAGGCGGCCAGCACAAGUCAGUUGUGAAAUCUCCGAGCUUAACUCGGAAAGGUCAACUGAUACUGUGCGGCUAGAGUGCGGAAGGGGCAACUGGAAUUCUUGGUGUAGCGGUGAAAUGCGUAAAUAUCGGGAGGAACACCUAUGGCGAAGGCAGCUCGCUGGGACGUUACUGACGCUGAGACGCGAAAGCGUGGGGAGCAAACAGG
rnacentral:rRNA from 1 species